rnacentral:lncRNA from 1 species
GAUAGAGAAAAACACAACUGUGGCAAUUGGGUGGUAACAAAUCUAGCGGGGUAAAUGCACGGGUCACCAUGCUAGUUACUACAAAGAAACAAAAAUGAAUGGAUAGGAAUUUUGUGAGAAGUCUUAUCUUGCGAGACCUGAGAUGAAUGGUGAGAACUCUCAUCGUAGAAGCUGUAUAUAAGAGUAGCACUUUUGUUAGUCGCUUGUUCCCACGGCCAAUAGCUUGUUGAGAAUGAGCACCUUAGCGGCGGUCGGCUGGACCCUGGCCGGUGGACGACGCAGCGUGCGUUGCUCAAUAGGCGGCGCCGACGAGCGCAAGGAACUCUUCGGCCGCGUCGC